rnacentral:rRNA from 1 species
UACAGAGGUCCCAAGCGUUGUUCGGAUUCACUGGGCGUAAAGGGUGCGUAGGCGGCUCACUAAGUCGGAUGUGAAAACUCCAGGCUCAACCUGGAGACGCCAUUCGAUACUGGUGUGGCUAGAGUCCAGUAGGGGAGUGUGGAAUUCCUGGUGUAGCGGUGAAAUGCAUAGAUAUCAGGAGGAACACCAGCGGCGAAGGCGGCACUCUGGGCUGGAACUGACGCUGAGGAGCGAAAGCGUGGGGAGCGAACAGG